AGGACGAUAGAUGGAGUGAAAAAAAAAAAUACAAAGGAAGCAGUGUCCAGGCUUAAGGGAGGUUCUCCAGUUUCUGCCCCUGUGGUUCACGCACCUGCUGCCCAGGCCAGCUGCACUUCUGGCUUCCCAGACUCAAAGGAAGUGAAAUUAGAGCAGACUGCUGAGGAGAGCAAGAAGGCCUCUGCACCCCCACUCCCAGCUCUCUGGCUAGACUGCAGAUUCCCAAAGACCUGGAAGGAAGCCUGCCUGGAUCCCCAACCUGGAAUCACUCAGCCAUAUUAUCUGGGAGCUUGGAUGGCCAGCUGUCUCCCACAGUACAGAAGCAAGGCCGUCUUGACCUCUUGCUACCCUGGCAUGGGAAGAGUGUGAAGUUCUUUCCAGAUCCCAAGAAGUCAGAGAAGGUGCUUCAGGGUGGGUUCUGGAAGCCGCCCAUCUCACCCCAGCUCCCAGCACCCAUCAGUCUCCUGCUCCACCUGCAGCUCCAUGUCCCAGGCAUCUACCACGCUGGAGAGUGGGGCAUUGCUCUCAGGACCCCGGGGUCUUCGGCAUGG